UACGGGGGGAGCAAGCGUUGUUCGGAUUUACUGGGCGUAAAGGGCGCGUAGGCGGCCAGCACAAGUCAGUUGUGAAAUCUCCGAGCUUAACUCGGAAAGGUCAACUGAUACUGUGCGGCUAGAGUGCGGAAGGGGCAACUGGAAUUCUUGGUGUAGCGGUGAAAUGCGUAGAUAUCAAGAGGAACACCUGGCGGCGAAGGCGGUCGUGCGUG
rnacentral:rRNA from 1 species